CUUGAUGGAGCCGAGCAGCAGCGGCCGGUCGGCGGGCCGGUCCUGGCCGUAGGUGGCCAGCAGCGCCUGCGCCUC
rnacentral:antisense_RNA from 1 species